UACGAAGGGUGCAAGCGUUACUCGGAAUUACUGAGCGUAAAGCGUGCGUAGGUGGUGGUUUAAGUCUGUUGUGAAAGCCCUGGGCUCAACCUGGGAAUUGCAGUGGAAACUGGGUCACUAGAGUGUGGUAGAGGAUAGUGGAAUUUCCGGUGUAGCAGUGAAAUGCGUAGAGAUCGGAAGGAACAUCUGUGGCGAAGGCGACUAUCUGGGCCAACACUGACACUGAGGCACGAAAGCGUGGGGAGCAAACAGG
rnacentral:rRNA from 1 species